UUGCUAUGCGAAAUCGGCAGGAUGAGAACCUGCAGCAGGUUCGGGUCGAGCUUCAGCGAGACAAGGUUGCCAGCGGCAACCGCCCGUAGGGCGAGGCGAAGCCGAGUCAUCCUGCACGACCCACCA
rfam:Pantoea sp. PSNIH2, complete genome.